CACAGGUGGGAUUGCGUUUUGAAAUAUUGAAUAGGCAUUAAGUGUGAUUAGGUGGCUAAGGCAUAUUCCUUGGGUAUUGGGUUUAACCCCCAAAGGUCCCUUGUGGGAAUAGGCAGGCUUGAGUUCUAAGAGGAGAGUUAGAGGAAUAACUAAAAGAAGGAUGAAAUCUAUAGAAUAUUAGUUGGAAACAUCAAAAAGCGACAGCAUCACUCUAUUUUAGGACUGACACUGAAUCACUAAAGUAGUG
rnacentral:rRNA from 1 species